AGCCAGGAACCACAAGGGUUGACUGCCACCCCAGAAGCUAGGAAAGGGCCUGGAAGGGUCCUGCUCAGGGUAUCAGGGGAGCACUGCCCUGCUCACACCUUGACUGCAGACUUCUAGCCUCAGGCUCUGAGAGACUACUUUUCUGUUGUUUAACGCCACCCAGUUCCUGCGAUUAACUACUUUGUGAUGGUAGUCCCAGGAGAAAACUCACACAGUGAGCUAAUGUCCUGCUCCACCUGAGCCCCUUUCUGAGAUGCAAAGCCUGAAGUCUGAAGUCCUUCUCCACUGCAACCAAAAAAACGGAUCCCAUCACGCCUGGUUUACUAACAAGAGGCAGGAGAUUGCUGCAGCACAGAAAGCAGAGUGCAGGGCCUAGUGACCGGGUGGGAGCCAGGCCUUCCAAACUCCAGGCAGAAGAGGCAAGAAACCAUACCAUGGAGAAACAGCUUAUCUUAAUGAAAACUACUAAGGGUAAAAUAACUGAAAACUGGCUGCAAAUAUGCAUUCCGGUCAAACUAGUCAUUUUGCACUCUCAAUAACAAAUCUGUCUACUCUAGACAAUCAGCUCCGGAUGGACCUGUAGCAACCUCAAGGAUCAAUAAUAGUAAGAAACUUUAAGAACUACAAAUGGGCCAAAAAACAUAAGGUAUUAAAAAUGAAUUAUCUCAUUACUCUUACGUGACUUCGGUCAUCAAGCAGCUAUGGAAGAACACCAACUGAAUUCCAACCAGAAAGAACUUUUUGUACAUGCACAUCAAGGUUCAAAAUAAAGGAUACCAAAUGUCCUAACCAUGGAGAAAUCACUAAUAAAACCACACCAAAUUUUUAAGUCCAAACAUCUGACAGAUACGGGAAUUCACCAUGUUGUCCAUGCUGGUCUCAAACUCCUGGGCUCACGCAAUCAAC